GGGAUGUAGCUCAGUGGUACAGUACUUGCCUAGUAUACAGGAGGUCCAGGGUUCAAUUCCCAGCAUUGCCA
rnacentral:tRNA from 1 species